rnacentral:rRNA from 1 species
UAUCUCUGUAGAGUCUGCAUAUCAAUAAGCGGAGGAAAAGAAACUAACAAGGAUUCCCUUAGUAACGGCGAGUGAAGCGGGAAGAGCUCAAAUUUGAAAUCUUCAAGGUUCUACCUUGACGAAUUGUAGUUUAAAGAAGUGUUUUCUGUUAGAUGAGUAGCAAAAGUUCCUUGGAAUGGGACAUCAUAGAGGGUGAGAAUCCCGUAUUUGGUUAUUCAUUCUAGCUUUGUGAUACACUUUCAAAGAGUCGGAUUGUUUGGGAAUGCAGUCCAAAAUGGGUGGUAAAUUUCAUCUAAAGCUAAAUAUUGGCGAGAGACCGAUAGCGAACAAGUACCGUGAGGGAAAGAUGAAAAGAACUUUGAAAGGAGAGUUAAACAGUACGUGAAAUUGUCAAAAGGGAAGCGUUCGACACCAGUGUUGUUUUUCCGAAAAUCAAUACGAAUGGCUUGAUUUUGUGUUGUAUUGACCUUAUCAGCUUUCUUCACUUUAUUCGAGUCUUUCUUAAUGCACUUUUCGGUUAACAAGUCAACAUCAAUUUCUUUUGUUGUAAAAGAGUAUUCGGAAGGUGGCUUUCUUUUCGGAGAAAGUGUUUAUAGCCCUAUACUUCUACAAUCGGAGAGAUUGAGGUCUGCAGCGUAGAUCCUUCGGGGUUAGAUACACUUGUGCUAAGUUGUAGCUUUUCAUAGACAACUUGUUGACUAUGUUUAGUCAUGCGGCUUACUCGCUUGUGCUAUUUUACCUACGCUUAGGAUGUUGACUGAUAUGUAGUCGUA